rnacentral:lncRNA from 1 species
UUUUUGUGGGGAUCUCCUAUUAAGAGGAGGGAGAAGGGAGGGGAAGAAAAAGAAAAGAAUCGGAGAAGGGAGGUGGUUGAUCUUGGAAGCUAAGGGAAAUGAGGGAUUUGCUUGAAGCUAAGCACAUAUUGCUUGAGUGGAGAUUACCCAAGUAUGGUUACUAUGUCUUCAAUGUUUCCAUUAAAACCUUGUUCUUCUUCUCUGUUUGUCUUCUCUUCACUACCCUUUGUUGUUGCGCAUGGGUAGGCUUGAUAUGUAUAUAAAAGUUGUUUCUGGUAAUAGAGAUUUUCAUCACUGAAUGAACCCAUUUUAAAAGAAAUUUUCUGUCGGAUGAGGACUUUUUAUUUCCUUUUAGAGAGCACAUCCAUUCAUUUUUUGUGGGGCUCUCCUAUUAGAGGAGGGAGAAGGGAGGGAAAGAAAAAGAAAAGAAUCGGAGAAGGGAGGUUGUUGAUCUUGGAAGCUAAGGGAAAUGAGGGAUUUGCUUGAUGCUAAACACAUAUUGCUUGAGUGGAGAUUACCCAGGUAUGGUUACUAUGUCUUCAAUGUUUCCAUUAAAUCCUUGUUCUUCUCUGUUUAUCUUCUCUUCGCUGCCCUUUGUUGCGCAUGCAUUCAUUUUUUGUGGGGAUCUCCUAUUAGAGGAGGGAGAAGAGAGGGGAAGAAAAAGAAAAGAAUCGGAGAAGGGAGGUUGUUGAUCUUGGAAGCUAAGGGAAAUGAGGGAUUUGCUUGAAGCUAAGCACAUAUUGCUUGAGUGGAGAUUACCCAUGGUUACUAUGCUUUCAAUGUUUCCAUUAAAACCUUGUUCUUCUCUGUUUAUCUUCUCUUCAUUGCCCUUUGUUGGGCAUGCAUUGAUUUUUACUGGGGAUCUCCUAUUAGAGGAGGGAGAAGGGAGGGGAAGAAAAAGAAAAGAAUCAGAGAAGGGAGGUUGUUGAUCUUGGAAGCUAAGGGAAACGAGGGAUUUGCUUGAUGCUAAGCACAUAUUGCUUGAGUGGAGAUUACCCAGGUAUGGUUACUAUGUUUUCAAUGUUUCCAUUAAAACCUUGUUCUUCUCUGUUUAUCUUCUCUUCACUGCCCUUUGUUGGGCAUGCAUUGAUUUUUACUGGGGAUCUCCUAUUAGAGGAGGGAGAAGGGAGGGGAAGAAAAAGAAAAGAAUCGGAGAAGGGAGGUUGUUGAUCUUGGAAGCUAAGGGAAAUGAGGGAUUUGCUUGAUGCUAAGCACAUAUUGCUUGAGUGGAGAUUACCCAGGUAUGGUUACUAUGUCUUCAAUGUUUCCAUUAAAACCUUGUUCUUCUCUUUUUAUCUUCUCUUCACUGCCCUUUGUUGCGCAUGCGUUCAUUUUUUGUGGGGGUCUCCUAUUAGAGGAGGGAGAAGGGAGGGGAAGAAAAAGAAAAGAAUCGGAGAAGGGAGGUUGUUGAUCUUGGAAGCUAAGGGAAAUGAGGGAUUUGCUUGAUGCUAAGCACAUAUUGCUUGAGUGGAGAUUACCCAGGUAUGGUUACUAUGUCUUCAAUGUUUCCAUUAAAACCUUGUUCUUCUCUUUUUAUCUUCUCUUCACUGCCCUUUGUUGCGCAUGCGUUCAUUUUUUGUGGGGAUCUCCUAUUAGAGGAGGGAGAAGGGAGGGGAAGAAAAAGAAAAGAAUCGGAGAAGGGAGGUUGUUGAUCUUGGAAGCUAAGGGAAAUGAGGGAUUUGCUCGAUGCUAAGCACAUAUUUGCUUGAGUGGAGAUUACCCAGGUAUGGUUACUAUGUCUUCAAUGUUUCCAUUAAAAC